rnacentral:lncRNA from 1 species
CAUGGCAUCUGGGCAGGUGUUUCUGGAAAACCAUAGAUUGAGAAAUGUGAUGAACUCCCUGGAAAUGGCUAUGGUCAAACUCUAUGCUCCUGGGAUUGGAGAGUUCAUAAGCAACCAGUGGGUCCCAGAAGAGCUGCAGAAAGUUAGAAGUGACUGGUUCGUGCUGUCCACAUAUGAAGAUUUUGACAGUUUCCUUUCGGAUUUGGAGAGAGAGACUCUGAGUGAUUCAGCUGAAAAUAUUCCAACUGAAGCACCAGAGCACAGAAACACUAAUUACAGUGGUGACAGCAAGCUCCCUUCCUGGAUAGAGGAGGACAAAGAGGAGGAGGAGGAAAAUGGCUUGCGUAUGUGGUGAAGUAUCUUUUGACAGAAUCAUUCCAUGGACUGACAAAGUCUGGGAAGCUGCUGUACCGUGAGCUGCCAGGCCUGAGCUGUAGCUCAUGUUGGAAUGACAGCUGAGCAGUCUUGGUGCAGUUCAGUUGCUUGUUCAAGUGAGAUUACUUGUGCAUUGAUCAAU